GUGUGUGUGUGUGUGUGUGUGUGUGUGUGUGUGUGUGUGUGUGUGCGUGCGCGCGCAUGCACACUCACUCA
rnacentral:miRNA from 1 species